AGCUUUGCGCAGUGGCAGUAUCGUAGCCAAUGAGGUUUAUCCGAGGCGCGAUUAUUGCUAAUUGAAAGAUCUCCAUAUAUACAAUGGAAUGUUACUCAGCCAUCAGAAAGGAUGAAUACCCAAUAUUUACAUCAACAUGG